rnacentral:rRNA from 1 species
GAUGAACGCUGGCGGCGUGCCUAAUACAUGCAAGUCGAGCGAACAGACGAGGAGCUUGCUCUUUCGACGUUAGCGGCGGACGGGUGAGUAACACGUAGGUAACCUACCUAUAAGACUGGGAUAACUUCGGGAAACCGGAGCUAAUACCGGAUAAUAUUUCGAACCGCAUGGUUCGAUAGUGAAAGAUGGCUUUGCUAUCACUUAUAGAUGGACCUGCGCCGUAUUAGCUAGUUGGUAAGGUAACGGCUUACCAAGGCAACGAUACGUAGCCGACCUGAGAGGGUGAUCGGCCACACUGGAACUGAGACACGGUCCAGACUCCUACGGGAGGCAGCAGUAGGGAAUCUUCCGCAAUGGGCGAAAGCCUGACGGAGCAACGCCGCGUGAGUGAUGAAGGUCUUCGGAUCGUAAAACUCUGUUAUUAGGGAAGAACAAACGUGUAAGUAACUGUGCACGUCUUGACGGUACCUAAUCAGAAAGCCACGGCUAACUACGUG